rnacentral:misc_RNA from 1 species
AAGUCGUAACAAGGUUUCCGUAGGUGAACCUGCGGAAGGAUCAUUAUUGAAAUAAAUCUGAUGGGUUGCUGCUGGUUCUCUAGGGAGCAUGUGCACACUUGUCAUCUUUAUAUCUCCACCUGUGCACCUUUUGUAGGCUUGGGUUUGAGGAUUGAUUUUCUUUCCAGGUCUAUGUUUCUUCAUAUACCCCAUGUAUGUUAUAGAAUGUAAUAAACAGGCCUUUGUGCCUAUAAACCUAUACAACUUUCAGCAACGGAUCUCUUGGCUCUC